UCCAAUAUGGUCUAGUGGCCAGGAUACCUGGCUUUCACCCAGGAGACCGGGUCCGAUUCCCGGUAUCGGAA
rnacentral:tRNA from 1 species